UCAAAAAGGUCAUAAAUGAUUAGGUAUUUCUAAUUGUUUCUGAAAUAUAAGGUACUUUAAACCUUCAAGACCCUUUAAAUUGUACUUUUUUACUUCUAUCUUUUUAGAGGAUAUAAAUUUCUUGAGAGGCAGUUUCUUGCUAUAGAAGGAUAUCAAAAAGAUUUGGGAGAAAUAUCACUUUUUCAGAACUGAAUACACCUGAAAGAAGACAAAGUCGUAUUUCGAGCCUUAAUUUCUCUGCAUUAAAAUAUAGUAGAGGAUUUUUAAGAUUAUUUUUCCUUAUUUGUCGAAAUCGUUCUAUAGAUAGAAGCGAUACUGCUAAACGUUUUCGAUCCCAAUUGAAUCACCAAAUUUUGUAAAAUUGUCCAUCUCCCGUUAUUAAUAUCGUAGAGCACCUACAGGCUUCCAGCCAGUUUUUACUCAACUCGAAUUACGUACAAAACUGUAUCUGCUUACGCAGGCUUGUCUCGGUCACAUUGCAAAAACUCCACAAAACUGAAGAAACCCCACCGUAUCGAAAACGUUCACAAGAUGGCUACAGUCAGCUGCUUCCUAAUUCAUUCGAUUUGCUUUUGUGAAAAUCAGCUUUGAAUAUAAAACUUAGUUUUAUAUUCAAAGAAAAUCAGUGAUAAAAAAAUUGAGCGUCGAUAUUAUGAGCAACUAUUUUUCUUACUAUUAUGUGUAAUUUUUGACCACCGAUCUCUCUCAAAUUAAAGACAUACAUACAUAACAAAAACAGCAGCAAAAAGUUCAGAUUCUUGGUACUCUUGCAUAGACAUCCACAUCUGCUGGAAUGUUCCAAUGGAUGCUAAAAUCGAUCCGCCGACCCAAGCACCGAAUCGUCUUUCCACUGUUCCAUUAGCCGCUAUCAUUUUCAGCUUCAUAGAACCGGGAGUUCUAGAUUGAAGAUCUCGACUAAGCCGAUCGCUAAAUCCCUAUGUUGCAAAAUGUUUAUAAGGAUUAACGGAAUAUGUGAAAUAAACCACAGGAAUGUAAAAGUU